AGUAGAAAUAUAAUACACCUUUGGACAUGGGUCACUGCGGUCCUCCUAACUAUCAUCACAAACAGCAGCGACACAAAUUUGGCAACAGCCACUGUUAAUGAUCCCUGCGACGACUACACUCCUCUGGAUCAACCCUGGAGAGCCACGAACGCAACUCAACUGGUGAUCUGUGACAGCAACUACAACUGGACUGGCUGGUAUCGGCUGCUGUAUUAUGG
ensembl:lncRNA